ACGUAUUCUGAAAGGGAAGUACUUCUCGGACAAUAUACAAGGUGCUGCAUGGUGUCGUCAGCUCGUGCCGUGAGGUGUCGGGUUAAGUCCCAUAACGAGCGCAACCCCUAUCAUUAGUUGCCAUCAGGUCAAGCUGGGGACUCUAAUGAAACUGCCUACGCAAGUAGUGAGGAAGGUGGGGAUGACGUCAAAUCAGCACGGCCCUUACGUCCAGGGCUACACACGUGCUACAAUGGCCGAUACAGAGGGCAGCUACCUGGUGACAGGAUGCAAAUCUCCAAAGUCGGUCUCAGUUCGGAUCGGAGUCUGCAACCCGACUCCGUGAAGUUGGAUUCGCUAGUAAUCGCGCAUCAGCCAUGGCGCGGUGAAUACGUUCCCGGGUCUU
rnacentral:rRNA from 1 species